UUGUGGGGACCUUCACUCCAUCCUUUUCUGCUUCAGCCUUAGUGGCUGAGACCUGUUUCCUGGACAGAGAACACAGGAACGAUUUAGAGCGGUCUGUUUUGAGGGUUUCUCACACUAACCCACAUGGUUUCACCUCUAGAAUCCUCCAGACCUUCGUUUCCUUAGUGCUGGGAUUAUUAGGGAAAGCCAUCACACUUGGGUUAAGGCGCUGUUUUGAAGACAGUAUUAUGACAGCAUAAUCAGAUUCCCUGUGACUCAUGUUUCACACUCCAUAUAGAACAGAUAACCCUGCAUCAUACCACAGCUCUCAACCAUCAGGUGACGGAGCAGAAUGCCAGGCAGGAGCUUCCAGCAAAGCCACACCUUGCAUACAAUCCUACUCACACCUACUGCCUGGCUCCCAUCACAAUGUGCCCUGUCUUACUCAGGCUUUUCCAUUAUCCUGUGCUGGCUGGCAGAUAACGGCUCUGCAACAAAAUGUUGCCUGUGACCAGAAGCCACUUCAGCCGCCAGAACUCCGGGCAGGCCACCCGCGCAUAAGCACUCUCUGUGUGACCACACUGACUCUCCCCAAUCCUUCUCCUCCUCUCCUUUUAACUGUGUCUUAGGCCAAGUCAGGCAGAGCCGCCAUGCUGGAUCAGAGGCUAGAGAACUCCAGCCCCAAACUCUGGUGGAGACCUCCCCUAGCUCAACACAGGCCAUGAGUAACAGAAACCAAGAAACAAAAUACCCAUCCAACAAAGACAAACUCAGAAAUAAAAUGGUGCUGCUCUAA